AGGAAAGGCUUUUUGCAAAGGCAGAGGCUUUGAGUGACUCAUUUUAUAAUUGUUCACACAUUACAUCACUGUUGGGUGCUGUGUGCAUGCUGGGCUUUAGUGAUGUUAGUUAAAGAUGGCUUCUGAGAAUAGAUGAGCAUUUAUCCCUGAUGAAUGACACUUAGCCUAAUUUACAGAAAUAAUCAAGUGAGAGCAUGGAUUUCAUUUCCAGAGUCAAAGAAAGAAGUUUACCUGGCUAAGGCAUGACACCGCUUCCCUUUCAGAUUCCGGUGCAGUCCUCUGACCAUAUUGGGAAGGAUAUGUAAAAUGAUACGAGUUUCAGGGAAUAAGAAUGGGGGUGAGAGGAAUCACUGAGGAUGCCCAAGGACAAAGCAGCCGGAACAAGACAGAGUUUCUCUUGUUGCCCAGGCUGGAGUGCAAUGGCGUGAUCUUAGCUCAUCGCAACCUCUGCCUCCCAGGUUCAAACAAUUCUCCUGCCUCAGUCUCCUGAGUAGCUGGAAUUACAGGUAUGUGCCACCACGCCUAGCUAAUUUUGUAUUUUCAGUAAAGAUGGGGCUUCCCCAUGUUGGUCAGGCUGGUCUCGAACUCCCGACCUUAGGUGAUCCAUCCGCCUUGGUCUCCCAAAGUGCUGGGAUUACAGGCAUGAGCCACUGCACCUGGCUGCAUUAUACUUUUUAACAGAAUUACAGUGAAAAUCCUUCCCACAAAGAAAACUCCAGGCCCUGAAACUAUUUGUGAAUUAUACCAAGUAUUUAAGGAAGAAAUAAUAUAAUUCUGCAAAAAUUCUUCCAGAAAUUUAAAGAAAUAUAUCCCAAAUCAUUUUAUAAGGUCAUCACUCUUGUGAUAUCAAAACAGUAAGAAAUUAGAAGAAAAAUGUAGCUAAACUACAGACCUAUAGCCCUCAUCAAUAUAGAUUCAAAAAUUCCUAACAAGACUUCGCUGACUUGAAUCAAACCAUAUAUAAAAAAGGAUAAUACAUCAAGAUCAAAAAUAAUUUAAUAUCAGGAAUGUAAGUUUGACUUAAUAUUUUAGUAUUUGAUGCCAUCAAUUUAAUUAACCAUACUAACAGAUUACAGAAAGUGAUCAUCUCAAUAGACGCAGAAAAAAUUGUCAAAAUCCAACAUCUAUUCUGGACAAAGGAAGUCUCAUCAAUCUAGAAAUAAAAGACUUUUCUUUUCUUUUUUUUUUUUUCUUUUUGAGACAGAAUCUCACUCCGUCACCCAAGCCUCAGUGCAGUGGCACUGUCUCAGCUCACUGUAACCUCUGCCUCCCAGGCUCAAGCAAUUCUCGUGCCUCAGCCUCCCAAGUAGCU
rnacentral:lncRNA from 10 species